rnacentral:rRNA from 2 species
UAGGUGGAACCUGCGGAGGGAUCAUUACCGAGUUUACAACUCCCAAACCCCUGUGAACAUACCAAUUGUUGCCUCGGCGGAUCAGCCCGCUCCCGGUAAAACGGGACGGCCCGCCAGAGGACCCCUAAACUCUGUUUCUAUAUGUAACUUCUGAGUAAAACCAUAAAUAAAUCAAAACUUUCAACAACGGAUCUCUUGGUUCUGGCAUCGAUGAAGAACGCAGCAAAAUGCGAUAAGUAAUGUGAAUUGCAGAAUUCAGUGAAUCAUCGAAUCUUUGAACGCACAUUGCGCCCGCCAGUAUUCUGGCGGGCAUGCCUGUUCGAGCGUCAUUUCAACCCUCAAGCCCAGCUUGGUGUUGGGACUCGCGAGUCAAAUCGCGUUCCCCAAAUUGAUUGGCGGUCACGUCGAGCUUCCAUAGCGUAGUAGUAAAACCCUCGUUACUGGUAAUCGUCGCGGCCACGCCGUUAAACCCCAACUUCUGAAUGUUGACCUCG